UUUCAGCGAACUGACUUGUACGUAGGUGUUGAAGGAGCAUGUGUAGUACAGUGUGACUAAAUAGUUUCGGUGCAAGCUUUGAUAUGUACGUAACGCAACGAAUGAGAUUCGAUAUAUAUCGACGUGAGAACCGGCGUGAAGUUCACGUUGUUAUUCUUCAGGCAUUAACGGAGGUUGCGUUGUGUGACACCACGCUUUACAACUCAUACAUGGCGGAUCCUGCGUGUGAAAUUAUGUAUUAUUAUCGAUAUUUUUUCCUGAGAAGUGGAGUUUCAAAAGCACACAUCACAAAUGAGCAUGUCCAUGAAAUGUGUGCUUUCAUCUUUCUGUGCUGGCAACCAGAUAGGAUUAUGUGCUUGAUGGCUUUAAUAAAGAACAGUUGAAUCAGGUAUGAGAAUCAGUUGGAUAAUGGGGGGAUUAAAAUUCACAGUAUGGGAAAUUUUAUAUUUGUCUUUUGCAGCAUUGAUAGUGAUAUGGUUCAGAAUUUGAUUUUCUCAAAAGCUUUUAGUGUACAUCAGACUCAUCCAGUUUUCAUGAGAAUCAGACAUUGUUUUAGACUAUAUGACUGAGUUAUUUUUGUAUUGGGAUAUCGUGUGCUUUUAGUACCUUGUAUUAUUUCACUGUGUUGUAAGUACAAAUAAGUUGCAUGGUGUUGGGUAUUUAUGUCUCGUUAAGUGUUAAUUUUGUGAUAUGUCGUCUGGUCUGUGAUGUUUUGCUGGAAAUAUUUCAUUCUGCUUAAUACUGUGUAGCAUGGAUCUUAUUUGCGCUUGCUGUCCAUCUUGAAACCGUGUUCAUUUUGUAUUUUUCCUAUGUGAAGCUGCCUAGUGAGGAUGGUGAAGAUCAUACAUUUUUUGUUGAAUGUUUUAAGUAUGUUAUCAAAUCUGUACAGAUGUAUUAAAUUCAUCGAGAUGCAAAAUUUGAUAUUUUUUGUUUUGUGUAGAAGACUGGACUUCAGUUCUUUAUUUCCUGUGUCAUUUGUAACUCGUAGCUAUGUUUUUCUUUUUUGCGUGUUAAUUUUAAGGUUACCUACUUGUACAAAGUUCUGUCAAUGUAAGAAGUGCCAAAAACUGUUUCAAAUGACAUUACGCAGUUUUUAAUGUCAGCUUAUUUGGCUUUUUAUUCAUGCAUUUCUGAUAAAAAUUUAAUUUUCUCUGAAGAUGAUAAUUUUUUUAUUGUUAAACUGGAAGUCAGCUGAAUUUGGUAUACGAUACAGUUCCUAAGAUUAUUGAUGAAAUUACAGGCUCAGGUUCAGGCUUCUGCAGUCGCCAGUGAUGGUGGGAAGCUGUUCACAUUGUACACAAUCAAAUUAUUCUUUUUAUCAAGAAUGUGGAUUAAGCACCUGGCAUCUUUUGCUACAAGGAAUGUCAAUGCUACUUCCAUUUUUAUGUCCAAUGUAUUUCUUGUAGUUUAUUAAUCAUUCAAAUAUAUUUUUUGAUAAAGGUUACAGGUAUUACAAAUCAGUCUAUCUAUAUUUUGUCAAGAUAUUUUUUUAUGAAGUGUGGGAUUUUUUGUUUGUUUAUAAAGUUGUGUCUGUACUGGAAUAAUAUGAACCAAAAUUAAAUAUGCUUCACAGUUU